UUCAAUUCACCAUGUUUUAUUCAAAAUCUAAUAAAUAUGAAAACCAUUAACAAUUUUCAAUUGUGCGCAUAAAAUGAAGACAAUGUUGUUCUAAACAAGAGGAAUAAAGGUAAAAAUCACAUAUAAAAAAGAGAUCAACAACCUUUACAAAUUCAUAAAAAAUAUAAUAUUUCUUUCACAUGAUCCUCUUGACUCUUAACUUUUGGUCCCUAUAAAUUGUAUAACAAUUGUGUCAUCUUUCCUUGGUCACCAAAUAAAAAAUCGUCAAAAUACAAACAAGAAUCAAUAAAGAAGUACCGUAAGCAGCUCGACAUGCUUUGAUCAAACUUGCAUACGGUAAUGCCGUUUGAUAA